UUGCAGUGAUGGUUUUUGAAUUUCUUCACCUGAAUUGUUUUUUGUAGAAAAACAUACUUUUUCUGAGCUAA